rnacentral:tRNA from 1 species
GGGAGCAUAGCUCAGCUGGUUUAGAGCACCUGCCUUACAAGCAGGGGGUCAUGAGUUCGAAUCUCUUUGCUCCCA